GACGAACGCUGGCGGCGUGCUUAACACAUGCAAGUCGAGCGGUAAGGCCCUUUCGGGGUACGACGAGCGGCGAACGGGUAGGAGUAACAACGUGGGUGGACCUCGCCCUCCAGCUCCUGGGAGUAAAGACCUCGGGAAACCGGGGUACCGUAAUAACCGGAUAUGACUCCAUGACGCAUGUUGUGGGGUGGAAAGCCUUGUGCGGCUGAGGAUGGGCCCGCGGCCUAUCAGCUUGUUGGUGGGGUGAUGGCCUACCAAGGCGACGACGGGUAGCCGGCCUGAGAGGGCGACCGGCC
rnacentral:rRNA from 1 species